UACGGGGGGGGGGUAAGCGUUGUUCGGAAUUACUGGGCGUAAAGGGCUCGUAGGCGGCCAACUAAGUCGGACGUGAAAUCCCUCAGCUUAACUGGGGAACUGCGUCCGAUACUGGAUGGCUUGGAUUUGGGAGAGGGAUGCGGAAUUCCAGGUGUAGCGGUGAAAUGCGUAGAUAUCUGGAGGAACACCGGUGGCGAAGGCGGCAUCCUGGACCAACAUUGACGCUGAGGAGCGAAAGCUAGGGGAGCAAACGGG
rnacentral:rRNA from 1 species